rnacentral:lncRNA from 1 species
CUACCAUGACUUGAGCAGCUUUCUUCCACCUAAGCCCUUCCACCAUGCUAUUUCUGCAUUCAAGCCAGCCAAACAUGGACUAAAAGUUUUGAAACUGUGAGCUAAGAGUCCCGAGACAUGGGCUACUGUAUGCUGAAGGCGAGGACACAAGUGCUGGUGUGCCCACGUCCCCCUGGAACUGUAGGCUGGGGGACCUGAGAGAUAACCCUGGGGGCCGAGAGUCUGGAGGAAACCACAUGGGACAGAGGCCAACUGGGACAAACACGGUGCCAGCCAGGCAGGACAUUGUCCCUGAGCUGCAUUGUCCCUCACCUGCAUCCUUCUGAACUGAGGCUUCUGGGGAGCUGGGGUUGCCAGAUAAAUGCAGAAGAACCAGUUAAAUUCGAAAAUUUGGACAAACAAUGACUAACUUAUUAGCUAAGCAUACCUCCAAAUAUGGCCC